AUCGAAUAUUAAUUAUUAAUUAAUUAAUAUUCUUUGAACGUUUAACCACAGAAUACGUUUUAAGUAAAUACUAUGUAAAUGUGUAUUAUUUUAAAUAUAAAUUUAAGGUUUAAACCAAUUAUUUCAAUGCAUAUGUAUUUUGUGAUAGUGUUUUAAUGUUGUAUUUUGGUUAAACAAUUUGAAUUUAAUUAAAAGUAUACUUCAAUCCAAUCAGCAAUAGUAUUAUGUGUAUGACAAUUAGUUUUCAUACUUUUCCGACAACUUUUUUUGUAUAAUUUAUUGUGGCAAUUCGUAGAAUUGGUGUAAUUAAUCAAAAAUAACAGUGAAAUAUAUGACUAGCUCAAUUUGACCAGCAAUUAAUGCAAAUUCAUAUUGCUUUCUACUGGUACCUAUCUGAUGACUAUAAAUUAAUAAAUAAAAUAAAAUUGGAAUAAAAGAAUAAAAUAUACAUAUAUCUAUAUUAUAUUUUAAUCUUUUAACAAACUAAACAAUCUAUUAUGAAAUUUAUUUUAUUUUAUUUCAAAUUCCAAUUGCAUUUAAUAGUACUAACUUUUAAUUCAAAUAUCUAUAACAAUAUUGGAUGAACAAAUACAAAUUGCUGUUUUGGUUAGCCACAGCAUAAUACAGUGAAACUUCUAAUUAACGGUCACCAAAGGGACCAUAAAUAAUGACCGCUAUUUAGAGGUAGCUGUCCUAUAGAGGUGACCAUUAACGGAAGUUUUACUGUACAUCUCACCUGAUAACUUAAUAAUUGCAUUCUGAUAAAAAAAAUAACAGUGCAGCAUCAAGACCAACUACUUCUAAAUUUGUAAAAAUUGUUGAUGAUCACAUUAAUAGUUAAUUGUAUGUUUAAAUAAUUAGGUUAAGUUAUUGGUACAUAACAUAAGUAGGGCGGCGCUUUCCAUUACCGCACAAAC